UACUCCUACGGGAGGCAGCAGUGGGGAAUCUUCCGCAAUGGGCGCAAGCCUGAUGGAGCAACGCCGCGUGAGUGAAGAAGGUUUUCGGAUCGUAAAACUCUGUUAUUAGGGAAGAACAAAUGUAAGUGAUACCUCGCUCCUGACGGACCCUNUCGAGAAGCCCCCGAU
rnacentral:rRNA from 1 species